UCUCCUAGUUAUAUAUUGUUACUGGCUGCUUUCAUGCUACAGUGGUCGAGUUGAAUAGAUGCAACUAAGACCAUAUGGUCCUCCAAGGCUAAAUCAUUUACUGUCUGGCCUUUUUGGGAAAAGCCUGCUGACCUCUACUCUAGAUAAAUGGAGGUGGAGCAGGGACUAGGAGCAGGGAAGAAGGGGACGGUAUUGAGAGAAGCCAUCAGACAAAGGCACAGACAGGGGCUGAGAGGUGGUACGAGAGAAAAGGCAGGACAGGUGCAACGGGCUCAGGGUCCAGGAGGCUUUGAGGUCCAGGAGGAUGAGGUAGUUUAGGAGGCAAUAGGGAGCCAUCGUGGACUGUGGAGCAGGAGAAAGAUGAUAAUUGCUGUCGCCUCACUGCAAUUAUUAGAGGGGUUUAACACAGAUCAUCUGUUUCUCAAUCUGAUGGGGGGUUCAUUUAGACAUAAACACACAGAACAGAUGGGAAGCUGGCAAAACAGUUGCUUAUUUGGAAUGGGGUGUUGGCUUAAAGGGGGCAGCUGUGAGUUGUUUCCCUACUUACUGGUGUGGGAGUUGCCUCCCCACAAAAGUGUAAGCGAUUAAGUUGUCAGCAGCAGAAACUCACAGUUGGCUAGAGCGGCGCUUCCGAAUGUGUACAUCCCGAGAUAUGAAUAGGUGUACGACCAGACAUGAGCCUUCCCCGAUCCGCCUCCUGGAAAUGCUGUGUUAAAUCAACCAAAGGAGAGCAGGCUUCUUUCUGUUCCUAGGGCUUCUCAGAAUCUGGGAUGUACCAAUAUAUAUUUUGAUUUUUCUUCUGGAGGGGAUACAAGAUGCUGUUUUUCUCAAAUUUAUUUCAUUCUCUGUGUGUGUGUAAAGCACUUAUUAACCAUCUCAUGGAAUAUUUUUGGGCUGAGAAACACGUUUUAGAAGAGCUGGCCCAGAGGCUUCCUAUAAAGCUCAACAAUAACAUGGCUGGAUGAUUUGGGGGGCGUUCUCUGGAUCAAGACAUCGCUGUUUCUCUGUUCUAUUUACACAGAUUAGUGGAUGCCAUGCCUUCCAUCGAGCUUUGCAGUUUCCCAAAUAAUUUAUGUACAUGUUGAUUUCUACAUUUGCAAGCGGAUUCGGCUUGAUUAGCAAUUUAAAUGGAAAUUUUCUAAAUGCUACAAAUUGGUGCCUAAUUUGCAUCUCUUGUCAAUUAUCUAUGGCCCUAACUCAUGGCCCUGAAAAUAUUCCUGGCUGUCACACGUGAGGUCACGUGCGAGGAGGCCUGACACCGUUUGGGGGAUACAAAUGAUCGAUGGACAUCUGGGUUAGUCUCAUGGGAAGGUCACGCGGCUUCUGGGGUGUAAAACAAAAUUGGCAAGACAUCUUGCUGCAGUUGGCUCCCAUCCAACCCGAGACAGUCCUUCUGGGCAGCUCUCUCCACAUUAGGCAAUGUCCCAGUCGUCUGCCUGGACUUUCAGGCUCUGUCACCCUUUAUUUUCUCAUCUGUUCUGUUGAAGGCUCAGAGCUUGUCUGAAAUACUCCAUGUCUUUGGAUGCUGAGCUUUCAUUUCACCUCAGCUGUUAAGCAGAAGCCACAGAAUUUGAGUAUUUGUUUCUUCUACUGAUAUUGAACUCGAGAGGGCCCCAGAGAUGCCAGUGGUGCGGAGACAUCUGGUAACCCAGGGCCCUGCAGCGCCUCUGUGCCUGGGGUUUCAAAGUGCUGAGAGCGUGUGAGACACAUGUGCCUCGACUGCAGAGGGAGGCCAAGGCCCAGGCUGACCCCACCCCCGACCUCCAGCACCUCUGCUGUCUGGAUGAGGGGAGGUAGCUGAGGCCGGUGGAACGCCGUGGGUAUUUCUGAGGGGUGGGGGGAUCUCCCGUAGGCACCUUCAGAGCAUCCAGCUUCAGAGCAAGGUUGUGGCACCUGUACCCUGGCCACCGGCGGCCUGCCAGGCACCAUGGGUCGGUAACCGAUGUUGUGGGAACCCUCUGCUGAAUUAGCCCAGGCCCACCAGGGGCCAUGACCUCAUGUGAUUAUUCACAAAUUUUCCUGCUUGUAUUUGCAGAGCCAAGGAGCGGGGCUUGUUCUAAGAUGAAGGUUUAUUAAUUUAUUAAUUAAUUAAUUAAUUAAUUUAUUUAUUCAUGAAAGACACACAGAGAGAGAGAGAGAGGCAGAGACAUAGGCAGAUGGAGAAACAGGCUCCCCGUGGUGAGGACCAAUGCAGGACUCCAUCCCAGGACUCCAGGAUCAUGACCUGAGCCAAAAGCAGACACUCAAUCAGGCUCCCCUGGAUGAAGGUUUAUGAUGGGGAACCAAAAGUUAGGAAGAAGGUUCUGUAAGAAUUGCUUAAACAGAGGAAGGUGGCUGUAGGAAGAGGCUGGGGUGAAUGACCAGGACGGAACCUUCCAGAAUCUCGGCUGUGGGCACUGCUGGGGGCGAGCUUCCAGCUCAGCUCCCAGGCCCCAGGUCUAGUCCUGGCCACAGCGGGCCUCCAUGCAGCAGACUUAGAACCCAGAGGCUAAACAGCCUUCCCUGUAGAGUCUCUGCUUGGAGCCAGAUGCAUCCGGGGGACACGAGAGACUUCCCUUGAGCACCCACUACAUUUUCACAAUUCCUCAGCUGACUUUCUACCUCGGUUGUUUCCCAGGUUUUUGCUUCCUGCUCCCUGAGCAGAGGCCCUUAGGCCUCAUCAGCCCUUUUGCCUUUCUGGUCAGGCUCCCUGGGCCCUGUUAGCCAGCCUACCACACCCCACCGGGUGCCCCAGGCCCAUACACCCCAGAGACCCCGUUGGGCACAAUAUCCGUCUCUCCAGCACAUCACCUGGGUGUACACUUCUGGCGGUUUCUACUCAUUUCCAAGCUGCAGAGACCUUCUUACCUCACUUCCUGACCUUCUUCCUCCUGUGGUUGGCUCACCUCGUGGCCUUGGCCUACAGCUGGUCUCCCGUUGAGCUUCCACCUGCACUGUCCUCCCAGACCUGAAGGCCAACCCUGGUCCUUGGUCGCCGGUGAAGCCAGACCAGGUAGGUGUCCAGAGUCACCAGGACAGGCGUGCAGGUGCCCAGAGGUGGCCCCCUCAGCGGACAGUCUUUUGCUUCCUGGUUUUAGCUGCAUUCCAGAAUGAUGAUGCCACGAGAUGGUGAGUCCCAUAAGGAUGAGAAGCUAACUGUGGUUUUUCCACUCCCCUGCUGUGGGCCUGUGACAAGGCGGGGUGACGCGGCUGGGGUUUCAUGGCAUUUGAAUGGAUUUCAUGGCCUCCUCUCCUUCUCACUGGCUGUGUGGUGUCAGCAACGUAUGACUUCUUUUACCCACUGUCUCUACUUUGCUACAAAACUGAAAAACAAAUUCCCUCUUACAUACCUCACCGACUCGUUAUGGGGGUAAAAUGAAAUUCUCUAUCUGAACUGGAAAGCAUGAUGAUGUAAAUAUUAAUCGUUUAUUCAGAUAAAGAAAUUGAUGACAGUCACUAUGCGACGCUGCCCAGUUACGUCCUGCUGCCCCAGUGGCAGAGUGAAGUCUCGCCGAGCUGUGGGUUUUGUGGUUCAUAGAAAUUAGGGAAAUGUAGAGGGCUCUGGGGACGCACAGCCCAAAGGUGACAUGGGCGCCAGAAUGAGACCUGGCCAUGGGGAGCGGGCCCAGGAGAGCCUUCGGGAAGCACCUGCUGUAUCAGGCCUUGGCAGCCUGUCCGAGCCAAUCUCGCCGGUGGUCCCUUCUGUUACCACCAUGAAAGGAAAGUGCAGACAUGGCCUCUGAGGCAGGGGGAUGGGGGCCCGGAUCCUCAUCAGCUUUGGCCAACCAAAGUCAGCCUGGUUCUGACGGAGCCACAGAGUGACAACAGGAGGCCGGGCCCCACUCUUCCCUGGUAACAAGUGUGAAAGGGGCUGCUGAGUGAAGGCUGGUAGGAGAGGUACAGGUGCAGACUUUGCUCGAAUGCCAGGUGGCCAUGCCCUGGGGCAGAGAAGCCUGGAUUCGCCCAGCUUGCACUGAGAAACUGGCUCAGUCCUCCCGUGGAGGGCUUGUGCAAGGCCAUGUGAGAGUCCGACUGGCGGUCUAGACAGGUAUCUUGGGGCAGCAGGACGACUGCGUCAAGGGUCCCAGAGGGCAGGAUGUGGACAGGGACACUAGGUGGGAGACUGUUGCUGUUCCUGUAGUCUCAGGAAGAAGCAAUGGCAGGAACCAGAAUUACAGAAAUAUUUAGAGGCACGUGCAGCAUUGCUUAGGAGUUGGUAGGCUGUGGAAGAUACGGCAAAGGAACCACCCAACAACGCUCUUAUGGUUUCUGGCUUUGGCAUCCAACCGGUGAAGGGGGGUAUCCAUCCCGCAGGGGUUGAGUUAGAGAUCCUUGUGGACAUCCUGGCUGGAAUGUGGAAUAAGAAGUUGCCUACACAGGGAAGAAGUCUGAGCUCAGCGUGCACUGGUCAUCAGCGCACACAUCAUCAAAGCCAAGGGCGUGGAUGGGGUCUUUGGAGAAGACCCCACUUAGCACGAACAAAACACAAAUCAGAAGGUGAGUCCUUGACUUGCUUUUUGUACUAAAGGUAGGAAACACAUUUUCAACAAUUUCAAAAUAUCCUGUAUGUAUGAAUGUCCCUUAUAUUUCCAUGGGCCUGGAACAUAAACCAAGAGGUGUUUGGGUCCAGCCAUCAUUCAAGUUUUUAUUUUCCUGGCUCCCCAAUCCGAUCACUUCUGUGGCAGUCUGUUCCCCCGGGAAGGACGGUAUGUAUUUAUAGUCUAAUAGCUUUUCCAUCCCCAUUGCACCUCCAGUCCUCGCUGGCUUGGCCCGUACAGGACUUCGUAUUAUUUUAUUACAGUUAGUCCAGCCAUAACAAAGGCUCACAAAGUAGGUGGCUUCAAACAGUAGAAAUCUAUUGUCUCAUAAUUCUGGAGACCAGAAAUCUGAAAACAAGGUGUUUGUUGGGCCAUGCUCCCUCUGGGAAGAAUCUUUCCUUGUCUUUUCCUCCCUGGCAACCCUCAGGGCUCCUUGGCUUAUAGACAGAUCCCUCCAAUCUCUGCUUUCAUUUUCACACGGCCAACUGCCAGGUGCAUCUCUGUGUUCACAUUUCCCUGUCCUUAAAAGGACACUGAAUAGACAGUGGAUGUCACUGGAUGGCGACCCAUACACCCUAAUCCAGGACGACCUCACCCUAAAUAGAUUAGUCUGCAAAAACCCUAUUUCCAAGACAUGUCACAUCUACAGGUUUUGGGGAGAUGCUGUCCAGCCCAACACAGACCCCAGGGUAUCUCUCCUGACAUUUUCAGAUCUUUGACUCCAGACUCUUCCCUGGAAUGCCUCCAAGAAGAAGAGGCAGAGGAGAUAGGGAAAGAGAGAAGUCCCAAAUAAAGAUGAACUAAAGGGUCUGGAGGCAGGGCUGCCUGAAUUUUCAGUCUGUGAUCACUCUGUGGAAGUUAAAGAAGAGCCAAGGAACCUCGGGUUGGUGGGUCCACAGGUCAUUGUGUGCACGGUGGGACGGAGCGGAUGAAGCUGUUUCCUCCCUGCAGGCAGCAGACACCCAGAGGACACCCAGAGGACACCCAGUGGACACCCAGUGUGGUCUGUCUGUGAUGGGUUCAUAGACUCAGGGAUUAGGUUGAGCUGUUCCCAUUCCCCACGCUGCCACUUAGGGGCUGAGUGCUGUGGGCACAUGAGUUAAUGACUCGAUAGGAGUUUCUUCAUCUGGAAAGUGGCCACAAAUUGUGGUCAGGACUAAUGAAUAAAUACAUCUAUAGCUCUUGG